UACGGGGGGGCAAGCGUUGUUCGGAAUUACUGGGCGUAAAGGGCGCGUAGGCGGCCUGCUAAGUCGAACGUGAAAUCCCCGAGCUCAACUCGGGAACUGCGUCCGAUACUGGCAGGCUUGAAUCCGGGAGAGGGAUGCGGAAUUCCAGGUGUAGCGGUGAAAUGCGUAGAUAUCUGGAGGAACACCGGUGGCGAAGGCGG
rnacentral:rRNA from 1 species